AGGAGAUUUUGUGUUAAUAUUAUUACAUGCAACAAGGCAGCAAAAACUCAAUUUUACAACAUACAACUCCGACCAAAAAAAUAUAGUGUUAGUUACAAUUUUUACAUGAUAAUAUAGUACAUAUAAUGAACAAAUAUAGUUAGUGAAUCACAUCAUCAGAAAUGAUAGCAUGACCUUUGUUAAGCUACCUUCAACAGUUACUUAUGUGUGCCCCCUGCGUAGCUCCACCUAUAAGGUGUUGGUGGUUCGCUUCAGUUCCGAUGCAUCACGUCUCCAUCCAUUGAUUUAGGCGUAUUAGAAAUGGAUAUUAGGCCCAAUUUCACUUACAAAACCGGCUUCUAAGUGAAGGGAUACCUAUAAGGCGCUGGCUGGUCGUUCGCUCGACCAACUAGGCCACACCGAUAGAGCUGAAUAUACAUAUCGCGGCUCGAUCAAUGUGAUACGCUAUCUCCACUGAUCUCAGAAAAAUCAGUGGCAAAUGAGGAGAAACUCGGAUUGAUUCUAGAAGGCUCGAUCCGAUCUCCCGAUGAGCUAGUGUCGAUCCGACUCUCCUUCCGGAA
rnacentral:lncRNA from 1 species